rnacentral:lncRNA from 1 species
AAUUGUUUUUUAAUGCAUGCCUACUUUAAAGUGUUAAUAGCUUGCAUAUGUAUUCAAAUGUUCUUACUUGUUCUUAGCUAGGACAAAAUUUUUCCUUCAAGUGGUAUCAGAGCCUAGGCCUAGUUUAUGGUGAAUCCUUUUGGGUUUUGUGAUUUUCAUGAUUUGUGAUUUAAAUGUUGUAAAUGUUACAAGCUUUGUUCUUGCUUUUGAAUAUAUAAAUUUUGCUAGAAAAUUUAGCAUCUCAAAUGUUGUAGAUGUAUUUCAUUUAAGCAUGAAUAUUGGAACUAAAAUUUGGUGCCAUGUAUUUUGGAAAAUUCGGCCAAAUCCAAAGGGUGAUUUUUUGGGUUCAUGUUUGUCUUGUUAAAAUGGUUUUAAGGUGACUUUUGGAACCCCUAAGUACCCUAGGAUAUUAGCCCUCUUUUGAGUGGUGAAAAUUUGAGUUUGGUGAGUGAAAAACAUUCAUGAAGCUAUUAUGAGUUUUCAUGGUGUUCUUCAAUGUUCUUGAAGUUCUUGCCAAGAACAAAAAGGUUUUGAAGUUUUGAUUCAAAAGUUUUAUGUUUUUCAUAAAGUUUUGUUUUAUUUUUUAUGGGUGAUAGUUAUUGGUGAAGCAUUAAUUUUGGCUUUAAUGUUUGUCUAAACUCAUUAAUGUUUUACAAAACAUUUUCUUACAAACCAUCAAUUUCACCUUUACCUCACCCACCAAAAUCAAGUUGCAUAAAAUCCCUUUCACACUCAUUCACACUCUAAAACCGGCCACCCCCUAGUGGGGGUACUUUUGGGGUCUUUUAUGCAAUUACAUAAAGUUUUGAUACUUUUGUGUAUUUGCACUUUUGCCCAAAAGUUUACGUUUUUACGUUAAAGCCCAAAAACUCUAAAGGACGAAUUGUUUUGAUCCUUUAAUGAUGUUUUUACAUUAAUAAAAUUUUGGGAUCUAGUUGUAAUUACAUGAAGCUGUGGACUAUUGUGUUUUUACAAAGUGACCCCAAAAGUUUUUGUAUUU